UUUCACAUGUUUUUACGGGAAUCUCGUGGCUAAAAAUGACAGCAGAGAUCCGCGCUCGGAUCAUGUGCAGUCGAGAGAGUCGGUGAUUUCAAUGGAACCGCAGGAGAACGGUCAUAACAUUGUCAGUACGUUAUAGAACUGCCUACUGGUUCACACACCGUGUGCCUUGCUCGACCAUCGCAUGUUGUGUCAAUAAGUCCCACCGAGCAGUUUCGUAUCGCGAGGAACAACCCUCCGAUAUUCUCGAUCUGGGAACAGCUCCUCUCGAUCGAUCGGAUCAGAAGUCCACGAGCAAACAACAGACUCGAAUUUCGGAGCGUUGAUCGUCUACGUACGUGUACAUGGCCAGAGGGCAAACGAAAAACGUGAUUCUUUUUAUCGAAUGUGGGUUCCGUGACUUCGGUUUACAAGAUUUCGCGUCUAGCUGCUGCUCGUUGGAGGGCGUUCUUUCGUGGCGCGGCAAGCGUUCGGUAACCGUCGGCCGUUCCCGUCGCUUCUCGCUGAAAAGCACCCGUGUGCUCCAAAAACCCCGAGAGAAUACGCGAUAGAGAGAAAACUACUCCAAAGUCCAAACAGUACGAGGGUGCAACUACUCCUUUUUCUCAAAUCUAUUAAUCAAAUUCCCGCGAAUUCACGUUGAUUCCGACCGAUCUGCCUAUCGUAUUUCAAUUCUCCCUCCUUCGAUUCUCUCCUGAUCACGACCAACAAAAACUUGUUUUACUCGCGCUUAGUAAACACUUCGACAUUAUCGGCUUGGAUAAAUUAAAUUUCGGGUAAACAGUCGAAGAUGACAAGUGGAAAUGGAAAAUUUGAAUGAAAAGAUGAUACUUUCACAUUGUCCCGUUAUAACGUUAACUAUACGUAACGAGGUAGAUGAUAAAACAACAAAUUCAAUGGCACGACAAUAACAGUUCUAAAUUAAAGUACGUUCAACGUUUCUAGUACGUUACUCUAUCGCAGAAAACUGAAACCCUUGUGUAUUCGAAAAGGCACGUCAGUUGAACAGUGGUUGAUUGGGGUUAUAGCGUUUCAAAGACAAAAUCAGAGAGAACGGAGCUAGAUCAUUGUUUGAAGCGCAAAAUGAUGAAACGGAAAAUUCUUAGAUCGGUGGAGAGCAAAGAAUUUCAAUGGAGAAGAACCGUGUCAUGGGAAUACGAGAAGUUCGAUAGCAUGUCGCGGAGUGACAGUUGCAUGAUCUAACGAACCGAAUAUAGCUGAACGAUAUAAAACGUCAGAAGCGUUGGUGGGGGAAGAACU